CCUACGGGAGGCAGCAGUGGGGAAUAUUGCACAAUGGGGGAAACCCUGAUGCAGCGACGCCGCGUGAGUGAAGAAGUAAUUCGUUAUGUAAAGCUCUAUCAGCAGGGAAGAAAAUGACGGUACCUGAGUAAGAAGCCCCGGCGAACUACGUGCCAGCAGCCGCGGUAAUACGUAGGGGGCAAGCGGUAUCCGGAUUUACUGGGUGUAAAGGGAGCGUAGACGGCAGUGCAAGUCUGGAGUGAAAGGCGGGGGCUCAACCCCCGGACUGCUCUGGAAACUGUAUGGCUGGAGUGCAGGAGCGGUAAGUGGAAUUCCUGGUGUAGCGGUGAAAUGCGUAGAUAUUAGGAGGAACACCAGUGGCGAAGGCGGCUUGCUGGACUGUAACUGACGUUGAGGCUCGAAAGCGUGGGGAGCAAACAGGAUUAGAUACCCGAGUAGUC
rnacentral:rRNA from 1 species